GUAACCUGAAUGUUCUAGAGCUUACCUAAUUACCUAUGACAUAAGAAUAUUGUCACUUGGCCAGUUUUUUCUUUUAGAGAUAAUAUUUUUGGAAAUUCUACAUAUGCAUCACUGAAUUGCCUCAUGUUUUUCAGGGCUCUUGGAAAUGAGCACUGUGUUAAAUUCAUCACAGAGUUAAACUUGUAAGUUCCCAGGCACAGGGCUCAUCCUGCAAGACUGUAUCCAGCUCAUGUUAUUUUAACACUGAACAUGUCUGUGAUUUGGCUGGUGUCAGUGACAAAAUCCCAUUGAUUUAAAGGAAAGUAGGAUGGGGCCCAAAAUGCUAAUUCUGUUGACUUUUGUAAUGGGCUUCAGUUUAACCCUACAGCACUGAAGAUUGUUUCGUUUCCUAUGGCCCAACUUUAUCUGUUCAUCUCAAUACUCCAAGUUUACAUGACUCCCUUUUUCAUCCCAUCAACAAAGAAUUAUGCUGAAUUACGGCUUUGUUACUAAAGGGGAAUUGUGUGUUUGAGGUAUAUUUUUCACAAGGCAUUUUGGCCAAGUGGAUGAGGUAUUAAUAUGAGAAACUAUAAACAAAUCUUGGUUUUCUAAACUUCAGAUAGAGUGAUUGGCUUAAUUUGUUUCUGUACACUGCCAUCUUGAAAACUAAACUGAAGCAUCCAAAUUAAACAGGAGAUGUAAAUAUUAGCCAGAUGUUCCCUGGUGUCAGAACUCUUUUUUGUUUCUUUAUUUCUAUUAAAUGGGUACACUUUUUUACAUCUAACAUAAUGACCUAUGUUUUAGGUUUUGGUCCUGGCCUAAUGGCUUUUUAUCAUAUGAUUAUGAUAUCAUCCAGUCAUGUAAGCGUCAUGAGAUGCUGUUCAGCUUUGCUGAAGCACAUGAGUGUCAAACUGCUUAGUUUAGGCUGGACCAUUUGUCUGACUGUCUUAAUGUGGGGAGUGAAUGUGCUGUUAAUUUAGGAAAUGCCAACUGAGGCUGAGGCUUUAGCAAGCCAAGCAAAACAGAACACUGACCACAGAUUGAAACAUUACAGAGUUCCUUAAUGGUUCUGUCAGAAAGAAAUAUAACACUUUUUUUUCCUCCCCCUACAGAAGUUGCAAUAAUCUGCUGGUGGAAGUAGCAACCAGUAGGAUUUAGCAUUGGUAAACAAGGAUGGAAAAGACAAGCACUUGACUUCACUUUUGGUUGAUGCUUUUUCCUGAAUGCAUCUUUGAGUUUGAUGAUAGCAAGAUUUUUUGUUCUAUUCCUCACUGUUAUUGUUACCUGACAAAUUAUUGCAGCUACAGCAACUUUCCCAUGCACUGAGUGGUUCUAGGGGUGAAUGCUGCAAAGGAGCCAAAGACCAUGAGGAGGACUCUGAACUCUUAACUUCAUCUUCCAAUUUCAAAAAGCUGGACAAAUGGCAAUGGAAAAGGAGCCCAGAAAACAAUUUGUUUAUUAUAAGCAGGUCAGUCCUCCGGGGAAUUCGUGGAAUCAUGCAGUGGGAGAGGACAAUCACGGCACUGAAAUGGGUCUGGAGGAUCUGACAUUAAGAAACAUGGCAAUGACCAACAGAAAGAAGAAAGUACAACUGCUCCUGGGAUUUUCAAUCUUCUCAUUGAUAGAUCUUAUUAAAGAAUGCCUAAGAAUUUAUAUAUAUAUAUAUAUAUAUAUAUAUAUAUAUUUCCACAACAAAAUAUAAUAGUACUUGUUGCAUUAGAAAUAUGUCAAGAACACUUUGGGGAUGCAUCAAACUAUAUUUCAGAAAUAAGUGUCCAAAUGUUGAUUUUUUAAUUUUUUUUUUUUUUUUUUUUGAGUGAUACACUGUAUUUAUUAUUAGGACAAAAUCUGUCACGCAGAAAAGAUUUUUUAGCCCUUAGGUGUACUCAUGAAUGUGCAAAAACUACUUCAACAGUGGAGAGCCUCAGCAAAUUGUUGUAAACACGUGUCCUUGCAUGUAGAUCUUCAUGUAUGUACAGGUAUAGAUUGAUAAAGAUAUAUUGAAGUAAAUGUUUCAAGGGAAAACAAUUCAAGACUUUAUGAAACUUAAAUAAACCUCAGUUGGAAAACCUUUGUUUUUGAGUUUUCUUUAAUCCAGAUUGGUAAAACAUGAAAUUAGCCCAUCUUUGACACACAUCAGGCAAAUUUGUAC